GUCUCCAUAGCUCAGUGGUAGAGCAUGCGAUUGCAGUGAUUGAAUUGACAGCCUAUAUCGCAGGGUCAGGUGUUCGAACCACCUUGGGGACU
rnacentral:tRNA from 1 species